rnacentral:rRNA from 1 species
UUCACCUACGGGGCGCAGCAGUGGGGAAUAUUGGGCAAUGGGCGCAAGCCUGACCCAGCAACGCCGCGUGAAGGAAGAAGGCUUUCGGGUUGUAAACUUCUUUUCUCAGGGACGAAGAAAGUGACGGUACCUGAGGAAUAAGCCACGGCUAACUACGUGCCAGCAGCCGCGGUAAUACGUAGGUGGCAAGCGUUAUCCGGAUUUACUGGGUGUAAAGGGCGUGUAGGCGGGGAAGCAAGUCAGAUGUGAAAACCACG